UUUGCGAGCAGUAGUUCCUAUCAAAAAAUAUUGUUCAAAAUAACUGAGUAAUAUUUCGAGAUAGAAACCACUGCCGGCAUA